rnacentral:rRNA from 1 species
GACCGAUGGCGACAAGCGCAAGAUCACGCUGACUCGCCGGCACACGUCGGAGAUCAAGCAGGCCGACGCAACGGGUAAGGCUCGCACCAUUCAGGUCGAGGUGCGCAAGAAGCGCACGUUCGUCAAGCGCGACGACGUGAGCGAGACGGGCGCCGAUCAGGCUCAGGCGCAGACCGACGAGCAGGCGGAAGCCGAACUGAAGCGCCGCGAGGAAGAAGCGCGCCGCGAGGCCGAGCUGCUCGAGAAGCAGGCGCAGGAACUGCGCGAGCGUCAGGAGCGUCUCGAGCGCGAGGAAGCCGAGCGCCGUGCGCGCGAAGAAGCGGCCGAGGCCGAGCGUCGCCGUGCGGAAGAGGAAGCCGCGGCGAAGCGCGCGGCGGCGGCGCAGGCGGAAGCCGCGCAGCAGGCCGCGGCUGCGCGCGAGCAAGCGCAGCGCGCGCAGAGCGAGCCGGCCGAGCAGAGCGCUCAGGACGAAGCGCGUGCGGCCGCCGAGCGCGCCGCGCAGCGCGAAGCGGCGAAGAAGGCCGAGGACGCCGCACGCGAAGCGGCCGACAAGGCGCGCGCCGAGCAGGAAGAGAUUCGCAAGCGUCGCGAGGCCGCCGAGGCCGAAGCGCGCGCGAUCCGCGAAAUGAUGAACACGCCGCGCCGUGCGCAGGUCAAGGCGGUCGAGCCGCCGAAGCCGGCCGAGCCGCCCGCGGCGAAGGCGGCCGAGGCGAAGGGCACGCUGCACAAGCCGGCGAAACCCGCCGGCGAGGCGGCCGCGGCGCGCCCCGCGGCGAAGAAGCCGGCAAGCGGCGCGCCGGCGCCCGCCGCCGCGCCCGCGGGCGACCGCACCAAGAAGCCGGGCACCGGCAAGAGCGGCUGGCAGGACGACGCGGCGAAACGCCGCGGAAUCAAGACGCGCGGCGAUUCGAGCGGCGGCGUCGACCGCGGCUGGCGCGGCGGCCCGAAGGGGCGCGGCAAGCAUCAGGACAGCGCAUCGUCGUUCCAGGCGCCGACCGAGCCGAUCGUGCGUGAAGUGCACGUGCCGGAGACCAUCUCCGUCGCGGAUCUCGCGCACAAGAUGUCGAUCAAGGCAUCGGAAGUCAUCAAGGUGAUGAUGAAGAUGGGCCAGAUGGUCACGAUCAACCAGGUGCUGGACCAGGAAACGGCGAUGAUCGUCGUCGAGGAACUGGGCCACCGCGCGCUCGCCGCGAAGCUCGACGAUCCGGAGGCGCUCCUCGUCGAAGGCGAGAUCGGCAGCGAUGCGGAGCAACUGCCGCGUCCGCCCGUCGUCACCGUCAUGGGCCACGUCGACCACGGCAAGACCUCGCUGCUCGACUACAUCCGUCGCGCGAAGGUCGCGGCCGGCGAAGCGGGCGGCAUCACGCAGCACAUCGGCGCGUAUCACGUCGAAACGCCGCGCGGCGUCGUCACGUUCCUCGACACGCCGGGCCACGAGGCGUUCACCGCCAUGCGUGCGCGCGGCGCGAAGGC